CCUACGGGGGGCAGCAGUGAGGAAUAUUGGUCAAUGGACGAGAGUCUGAACCAGCCAAGUAGCGUGAAGGAUGACUGCCCUAUGGGUUGUAAACUUCUUUUAUAUGGGAAUAAAACGUUCCACGUGUGGGAUUUUGUAUGUACCAUAUGAAUAAGGAUCGGCUAACUCCGUGCCAGCAGCCGCGGUAAUACGGAGGAUCCGAGCGUUAUCCGGAUUUAUUGGGUUUAAAGGGAGCGUAGGAGGAUUGUUAAGUCAGUUGUGAAAGUUUGCGGCUCAACCGUAAAAUUGCAGUUGAAACUGGCAGUCUUGAGUACAGUAGAGGUGGGCGGAAUUCGUGGUGUAGCGGUGAAAUGCUUAGAUAUCACGAAGAACUCCGAUUGCGAAGGCAGUUCACUGGACUGCAACUGACACUGAGGCUCGAAAGUGUGGGUAUCAAACAGGAUUAGAUACCCCUGUAGUC
rnacentral:rRNA from 1 species